GACGAACGCUGGCGGCGUGCUUAACACAUGCAAGUCGAACGGAAAGGCCCUGCUUUUGUGGGGUGCUCGAGUGGCGAACGGGUGAGUAACACGUGAGUAACCUGCCCUUGACUUUGGGAUAACUUCAGGAAACUGGGGCUAAUACCGGAUAGGAGCUCCUGCUGCAUGGUGGGGGUUGGAAAGUUUCGGCGGUUGGGGAUGGACUCGCGGCUUAUCAGCUUGUUGGUGGGGUAGUGGCUUACCAAGGCUUUGACGGGUAGCCGGCCUGAGAGGGUGACCGGCCACAUUGGGACUGAGAUACGGCCCAGACUCCUACGGGAGGCAGCAGUGGGGAAUUUUGGACAAUGGGCGAAAGCCUGAUCCAGCAAUGCCGCGUGUGUGAAGAAGGCCUUCGGGUUGUAAAGCACUUUUGUCCGGAAAGAAAUCCUUGGCCCUAAUACGGUCGGGGGAUGACGGUACCGGAAGAAUAAGCACCGGCUAACUACGUG
rnacentral:rRNA from 1 species